GUCUACGGCCAUACCACCCUGAACAAGCCCGAUCUCGUCUGAUCUCGGAAGCCAAGCAGGGUCGGGUCUGGUUAGUAUUUGGAUGGGAGAAAUAUCAUUUAUGAAAUGGGGAGUGCUAAGAUA
ensembl:rRNA 5S_rRNA 5S ribosomal RNA